rnacentral:rRNA from 1 species
UUUUGGAAUAGUAGUAUUGAUGAAAUUUAACGGAUUUGGCGGCAAGAUAGCCCCUUAGAGGAACCUGCCCUGUAAACGAUGAACCACGAAUUACUUUACUUUCUUUGGUAAUCAGUUUGUAUAUCGCUGUUGUCAGUUAGAUUCUUGAGAAUAUUUUCAUUCAUGAUAAUUUUAUCGACUUCAAGUAAAGGUGCAGCUUAUAAGAAAGAUAGAGGUGGGUUACAUUUAAGUGAAUAAUACGGAUGAGAAAGAUGAAAUGGUCUCUGAAGGUGGAUUUAACUGUAAAGCUUAAGAAAG